GGCUGGGUAGCUCAGUGGAUUGAGAGCCAAGCCUAGAGGUGGGAGGUCCUGGUUCGAAUCCGGCUUCAGCCA
rfam:Monodelphis domestica cont3.071019, whole genome shotgun sequence.